GAUAAACGCUAGCGGCAGGCUUAACACAUGCAAGUCGAGGGGCAGCAUAGAUUGUAGCAAUACAAUUGGUGGCGACCGGCGCACGGGUGCGUAACGCGUAUGCAACCUACCCGUCACAGGGGGAUAAUCCGGAGAAAUCUGGUCUAAUACCCCAUAACAUAUGGAUCGGCAUCGGUUCAUGUUGAAAUUUUCGGAGGUGACGGAUGGGCAUGCGUAGCAUUAGCUUGUUGGUGAGGUAACGGCUCACCAAGGCGACGAUGCUUAGGGGGACUGAGAGGUUUUCCCCCCACACUGGUACUGAGACACGGACCAGACUCCUACGGGAGGCAGCAGUGAGGAAUAUUGGUCAAUGGGCGCAAGCCUGAACCAGCCAUGCCGCGCGCAGGAUGACGGCUCUAUGAGUUGUAAACUGCUUUUGUACGAGGGUAAAGUGGGUUACGUGUAACCUUUUGAAAGUAUCGUACGAAUAAGGAUCGGCUAACUCCGUGCCAGCCGCCGCCGUAA
rnacentral:rRNA from 1 species